rnacentral:rRNA from 1 species
GGACGAACGCUGGCGGCGUGCUUAAUACAUGCAAGUGGAGCGACGAACCAGGCUUCGGCCUGGGGCAGAGCCGCGAACGGGUGAGUAACACGUGGGUAACCUGCCUCGAUGACCGGGACAACCCGGGGAAACCCGGGCUAAUACCGGAUGUGCUGUCCCCACAUCAGUGGAGACAGGAAAGGAAGCUUCGGCCUCCGCAUCGAGAUGGGCCCGCGGCCCAUUAGCUUGUUGGUGUGGUAACGGCNCACCAAGGCUGCGAUGGGUAGCUGGUCUGAGAGGACGAUCAGCCACACUGGGACUGAGACACGGCCCAGACUCCUACGGGAGGCAGCAGUAGGGAAUCUUGCGCAAUGCGCGAAAGCGUGACGCAGCAACGCCGCGUGGGGGAAGAAGGCCU